rnacentral:lncRNA from 1 species
UAUUAAAAGUGAUUAAUUACAAAAUUACGAUUAGAAUCUAGAAAAUCAGGGGAAAGUAUAUAGGAGUUGUAGAAGUUAAUUAGGGUACCAGACUAUGAUAGUCAUGAGCCGAGGGCCAUCGUUGUGAUAGUGUGAGCCGGAGUAAGCUUAAUGCUACCUCUUUUCUUUUGUUUGUUAUUUUCUUUGAAUAAGAAGAUUGAGAGUUUCUGAAUAUUAUGAAGUGAAUUUUGGAAUGGAAAUGUGAUUGGUAUUAUUUGAAAAGAAGAAAGAUUGAAUGCUGAAAUCUGAUUGUAGUUCAGCAGAGAGAAUGAGUCUGUGUUUGUGUGAAGAAUUCCAGUGAUUGGAAUGAGGGUAAUUGUGUGCUGAAAGCUGAGAGGGCACAAUAUUACAGUUGGAGAUUAUGAGGGUGAAUAUAUUGGUGGAAAUAGCAGUUAUUGAUAUGACUGAAUUGCUGUAAGGAAGAGACUGAUAA